UCUCCGUAGGUGAACCUGCGGAGGGAUCAUUACAGAGUUCAUGCCCUAACGGGUAGAUCUCCCACCCUAUGUUAUCAUCACUUUAUUGCUUUGGCGGGCCGUCAGGCCUCGGCUUGGCUACCGGCUCUCGCUGGUAAGCGCCCCCCAGAUAACCCCAAACCCUGAAAAUCAGUGUCGUCUGAGUACUAUAUAAUAGUUAAAACUUUCAACAACGGAUCUCUUGGUUCU
rnacentral:misc_RNA from 1 species